rnacentral:rRNA from 1 species
AGAGUUUGAUCCUGGCUCAGAUUGAAUGCUGGCGGCAUGCCUAACACAUGCAAGUCGAACGCGAAAGUCAUUUUGGUGGCGAGUAGAGUGGUGGAUGGGUGAGUAACGCGUGGGAAUUUGUCUCGUAGUGGGGGAUAACCCGGGGAAACUCGGGUUAAUAUUGUAUAUGUUUUACGAGAGAAAGGGGGUUUUUGUUUGUAUGCUCUCGUUAUGAGAUGAGUCCGCGUCCGAUUAGUUAGUUGGUAGGGUAAAAGCCUACCAAGGUGAUGAUCGGUAGCUGGUCUGAGAGGAUGAUCAGCUAUAUUGGGAUUGAGAUACGGCCCAGAUUCCUACGGGAGGCAGCAGUGGGGAAUAUUGGAUAAUGGGCGUAAGCCUGAUCCAGCAAUGCCGCGUGUGUGGAGAAGGCCUGUGGGUUGUAAAGCACUUUCAGUCGGGAAGAAAAGCCUGUGGUUAAUAGCUGCGGGUUUUGAUGUUACCGACAGAAGAAGCACCGGCUAACUCCGUGUUAGCAGUUGCGGUAAUACGGAGGGUGCAAGCGUUAAUCGGAAUCACUGGGCGUAAAGCGCGCGUAGGCGGCUUGAUAAGUCAGAUGUGAAAGUCCUGGGUUUAACCUGGGAAUUGCAUUUGAUAUUGUCGAGCUAGAGUAUGGUAGAGGGGGGUGGAAUUCCAGGUGUAGUGGUGAAAUGUGUAGAUAUCUGGAGGAAUAUUAGUUGUGAAGGUGACCCCCUGGACCAAUACUGACGCUGAGGUGCGAAAGCGUGGGGAGUAAAUAGGAUUAGAUAUUCUGGUAGUCCACGCUGUAAAUGAUGUCGACUAGCCGUUGGGUCCAUUUAAGGGUUUAGUGGCGCAGUUAAUGUGAUAAGUCGACCGCCUGGGGAGUACGGCCGUAAGGUUAAAACUCAAAGGAAUUGACGGGGGCCCGUAUAAGCGGUGGAGCAUGUGGUUUAAUUCGAUGCAAUGCGAAGAAUUUUACCAGCCCUUGAUAUUCAGUGAAUUUUCUAGAGAUAGAUUGGUGUCUUUGGGAACACUGUGAUAGGUGCUGUAUGGCUGUCGUCAGCUCGUGUUGUGAGAUGUUGGGUUAAGUCCCGUAACGAGCGUAACCCUUGCCCUUAGUUGCCAGCAUAUAAUGGUGGGAACUUUAAGGGGACUGCCGGUGAUAAACCGGAGGAAGGUGGGGAUGACGUUAAGUCAUUAUGGCCCUUAUGGGCUGGGCUACACACGUGCUACAAUGGCCGGUAUAGAGAGUUGCGAAGCGGUGAUGUGGAGCUAAUCUCAGAAAACCGGUCGUAGUCCGGAUCGCAGUCUGUAAUUUGACUGCGUGAAGUUGGAAUCGUUAGUAAUCGCGAAUUAGAAUGUCGCGGUGAAUACGUUCCCGGGCCUUGUAUAUACCGCCCGUCACACCAUGGGAGUUGGUUGCACCAGAAGUAGGUAGCUUAAUUUUUGGGAGAGCGCUUACUAUGGUGUGGUCAAUGACUGGGGUGAAGUUGAAAUAAGGUA